GGGGAAUAUUGGACAAUGGGGGAAACCCUGAUCCAGCCAUGCCGCGUGUGUGAAGAAGGCCUUUUGGUUGUAAAGCACUUUAAGCAGUGAAGAAGACUCUUCGGUUAAUACCCGGAGACGAUGACAUUAGCUGCAGAAUAAGCACCGGCUAACUCUGUGCCAGCAGCCGCGGUAAUACAGAGGGUGCAAGCGUUAAUCGGAAUUACUGGGCGUAAAGCGAGCGUAGGUGGCUUGAUAAGUCAGAUGUGAAAUCCCCGGGCUUAACCUGGGAACUGCAUCUGAUACUGUCAGGCUAGAGUAGGUGAGAGGAAGGUAGAAUUCCAGGUGUAGCGGUGAAAUGCGUAGAGAUCUGGAGGAAUACCGAUGGCGAAGGCAGCCUUCUGGCAUCAUACUGACACUGAGGCUCGAAAGCGUGGGUAGCAAAC
rnacentral:rRNA from 1 species